GUGCUCACUUCAGCAAGCACCCAUACUAAAACUGGAACGAUACAGAGAAGGUUAGCAAGGCCCCGUGCAAGUUUUUAGUUAUAUACUGUGUAAAACUUAAUUCUUAA
rnacentral:snRNA from 1 species